UGUGUUCCCAAAUUCCAAUUAUUGGCGGCUUUGUUGUGUUAGCGGCUUCUUCGUCUCUCUUUUUCCCCUCGAUCCAAGUUCACUGAAAUUUUGAACCAUUAAACACUGAAGGAGUAUAGCAGCAGUAAGAGAUUGAGUUCUUCUGUUUCCUUUGCUUCCAAUUUUAUCUGUGGUAGAUGAUGAUGAUGAUGGAUGGUGUGGUGUUCAAAAUCCCAUCGUUUAAGUUCCUAAACCCCAGCCCAGCCGCCUCUCGGAGCCCUGCAAUUAUACGGUGUGGCUUGCCUAGAUUCUCUUGUUCUUCUAUCCCCGCAUUAGCUACCACUGGCCGAGAGGGUGACCAGGCCCUUGGUUCCCUCUCCCUAGGUCACAUCACUCGACCUGAUUUCCCUAUCCUUCACCAGGAGAUAAAUGGCUCAAAACUUGUGUACUUAGAUAAUGCUGCAACGUCCCAGAAGCCUAUUUCAGUGUUGAAGGCUUUACAGAACUAUUAUGAAACUUACAAUUCAAAUGUUCACCGAGGAAUUCACUAUUUAAGUGCGAAGGCAACUGAUGAGUAUGAGUUGGCCAGAAAGAAGGUGGCAGCUUUUAUAAAUGCUUCUGAGUCCAGAGAGAUUGUUUUUACCAGGAAUGCUACUGAAGCUAUCAAUUUGGUAGCCUACUCCUGGGGCCUUGCAAAUUUAAAAUCAGGAGAUGAGGUUAUACUUACAGUUGCUGAACAUCACAGUGCAAUUGUUCCAUGGCAAAUUGUAGCUCAGAGGACUGGUGCUGUUCUGAAAUUUGUAACUCUGAAUGAAAACGAAGUUCCAGAUAUACAGAAAUUAAAAGAAAUAUUCUCAAAGAAGACAAAACUUGUAGUUGUUCAUCACAUCUCAAACGUCCUUGGUGGGUUUUUCUGCUUUAGUAUCUUUCUGGCUUCUGCUGACUAUAUGUAGUCAUUUUCUUUUUCUCUUUUUAUAAGAAAAGAGAUUUUAUUGAGAGAGGAGAAAAAGUUUACAACUUGGAGGAUAAGAUAUCCAUUUAACCUAAUUAACAGAAUUCUACUAGUAACUUAGAAUACUGAGACUAAAAUUAUUAGCACCCUUUAAUCUUUAUUAAUUAAAUAUAUUGUGGGAGACUAAUGCCAUGGAUGCUAUGGGAGGAUGCAUGUAAGAAGAUGUCUUGUUUUAAUUCUCUUUUCUUGUCUUUCUUAUCUUCCCAUUUCUUAUGAAGUACAUUACUUAAUGAUAUCUUGGAUAGUUUAAAAUUUCUUUCUUAUGCAAUCUUAAUUAUAGUACACAGUGCAUGUUAACUUAUUGCUUAGCAAAAAGCACAUUUUACUCUGACUCGUUUACUUUUAAAGUAAUAUAAAAACCAAAAGAUUUAAUUAUCCUUUUAAGUUUUAACUGACCUGUACAUGUUUUUUCUUUAGCUUCUUUCCUUCCUGUUGAAGACAUAAUCCAAUGGGCACAUGUUGUUGGGGCUAAAGUGCUUAUAGAUGCUUGUCAAAGUGUUCCACACAUGGUGGUUGAUGUCCAGCGCCUUGACACUGAUUUUCUUGUUGCUUCUUCUCACAAGAUGUGUGGGCCCACAGGCAUUGGAUUCUUAUAUGGUAAAAGUGAUCUCUUGUCCACAAUGCCUCCAUUUUUAGGUGGUGGAGAAAUGAUCUCUGAUGUAUUUUUAGAUCAUUCUACUUAUGCAGAUCCUCCAUCAAGAUUUGAGGCAGGAACUCCUGCAAUUGGAGAAGCAAUUGGGCUAGGAGCAGCAAUUGAUUAUUUGUCAGGAAUUGGCAUGCAAAAGAUUCAUGACUAUGAGAUCGAGUUGGCUAAUUAUUUAUAUGAAAGCCUCUGCACUGUCCCCAAUGUUCAUAUCUAUGGACCAAAAUCUUCAGAAACUGUUCACCGUGCUGCUCUCUGUUCUUUCAAUGUUGAGAAUAUUCACCCCACAGAUAUUGCAACCUUUCUGGACCAACAGCAUGGAGUGGCUAUCAGAUCAGGUCACCACUGUGCCCAACCUCUUCAUCGGCAUUUAGGAGUAAAUGCAAGUGCACGUGCUAGUCUCUAUUUCUACAAUACUAAAGAGGAUGUUGAUGCUUUCAUACAGGCACUCAAUGACACUAUUAGCUUCUUCAAUUCUUUCAAGUAGAGUAACCUUUUAUUCUCCUCCCACAGGUACUAAUACAGGAUAUUGUGCAACUUCACACAACUUUUCUUUUUGUUUCUUCUGUCGUGUUAAAGAUCUCUCGUCUUUCUUUCUCCCUUUUGAUGAGUGUUGUACAAUAACACAUAUUUGUAAAUCAAUUAUUUAAAGCCACUGCUAGGUUGUACUUUAUUUUAGAUUUAAUAGAGCGUCUGGAGAUGGUCCGGGGUUUUCCUUCCUUCCCACCUGGACACUGCAUUUAUAUUUAAUAAACCAGGGGAAUUGUGUGUGCUCAGAUUAGAUCAAUACUAAAAAAUUGUUGACUUGGCAUGUUGACAGUGCAUGCUUUAAUGUGAAGCAAAUU
rnacentral:misc_RNA from 1 species